GAUGAAGAACGUAGCGAAAUGCGAUAAGUAAUGUGAAUUGCAGAAUUCAGUGAAUCAUCGAAUCUUUGAACGCAUCUUGCGCUCCUUGGUAUUCUGAGGAGCAUGCCUGUUUGAGUGUCAUUAAAUUCUCAACUACACUGACUUUGAAUUGGUGUGGCUUGGAUUUGGGGGGAAAAUUGUUGUGGGCUUUUUGUAUAGUCUGCUCCCCUGAAAUUGAUUAGCGGUACCUUUGUGGAACUGUCUACAGGUGUGAUAAUUAUCUACAUCUUAGACAUCUGCUGGAAUGCUGCUUUCUAAACCUUACUUGUAUUGACAAUCUUGACCUCAAAUCAGGUAGGACUACCCGCUGAGCUUAAGCAUAUCAAUAAGCGGAGGA
rnacentral:misc_RNA from 1 species